rnacentral:rRNA from 1 species
UACCAGCUCUUCGAGUGGUGUGGAUGUUUAUUGGGCCUAAAGCAUCCGUAGCUGGCUGGGCAAGUCCCCUGUUAAAUCCACCGAUUCAAUCGUUGGAGUGCGGGGGAUACUGCUCGGCUAGGGGACGGGAGAGGCAGACGGUAUUUUCUGGGUAGGGGUGAAAUCCUAUAAUCCCGGGAAGACCACCAGUGGCGAAGGCUGUCUGCUAGAACGUGCCCGACGGUGAGGGAUGAAAGCUGGGGGAGCGAACCGGAUUAGAUACCCGGGUAGUCCCAGCUGUAAACGAUGCAGGCUAGGUGUUUGGACGGCCACGUGCCGUUCUAGUGCCGCAGGGAAGCCGUUAAGCCUGCCGCCUGGGGAGUACGGCCGCAAGGCUGAAACUUAAAGGAAUUGGCGGGGGAGCACCACAAGGGGUGAAGCUUGCGGUUC